rnacentral:rRNA from 1 species
AUUGAACGCUGGCGGCAGGCUUAACACAUGCAAGUCGAACGGUAACAGGUCUUCGGAUGCUGACGAGUGGCGAACGGGUGAGUAAUACAUCGGAACGUGCCCGAGAGUGGGGGAUAACGAGGCGAAAGCUUUGCUAAUACCGCAUACGAUCUCAGGAUGAAAGCAGGGGACCGCAAGGCCUUGCGCUCACGGAGCGGCCGAUGGCAGAUUAGGUAGUUGGUGGGAUAAAAGCUUACCAAGCCGACGAUCUGUAGCUGGUCUGAGGGGACGACCAGCCACACUGGGACUGAGACACGGCCCAGACUCCUACGGGAGGCAGCAGUGGGGAAUUUUGGACAAUGGGCGCAAGCCUGAUCCAGCCAUGCCGCGUGCAGGAUGAAGGCCUUCGGGUUGUAAACUGCUUUUGUACGGAACGAAAAGACUCUGGUUAAUACCUGGGGUCCAUGACGGUACCGUAAGAAUAAGCACCGGCUAACUACGUGCCAGCAGCCGCCGCAGUAA